ensembl:lncRNA
CAAGUUUAAUUGAUAGUAAGGUAGCGAGUUUAAUAUGUAGUGAGGUAGCGAGUUUAAUAAUUAGUUAGGUAGCGAGUUUAAUAGGUAUUGAGGUAGUGACUAAUGUUAGUCUAUUUACUGUUUACACAGUGGAUUGACAACUUUCCUGUGAUUCAGCUGCCUCAUGCCUUCACUGAAAUUGUACCAAAUAUGUUGUGUCAUAAUUUGUUAUAUCUCUCCAUUGGUUCAUUUUCUGAUACGUCUUUGAUUGCUGUUUCUGUAGACCA